UGCNUCNAUGAAGAACGUAGUGAAAUGCGAUACUUGGUGUGAAUUGCAGAAUCCCGUGAACCAUCGAGUUUUUGAACGCAAGUUGCGCCCGAAGCCAUUAGGUCGAGGGCACGUCUGCCUGGGCGUCUCAC
rnacentral:rRNA from 1 species